GAAAGGUGAGGCAGUCAAAUCCUUCCUUCGCCUUCUCCUCCCAUACUCCUAUCUGUCUGAAAUCCAAUCCUCAGUCUUUACAGUCAGAAUCCAUCUUACGGAUGCUUGUUCUCUUCCCAUCUCCUUUCUCUACAAAUCAGGGAUCUGUGUCAUACUCCCACAAACCUUUUCUCUAGUGUUCACUCAUCACCUGUGUCGUCCUUCUUCUUCUGAUCUCUUCCCCCUUUUUCUCUUCAUGUACCGGUUCACCUCUCAGAUCUUCCUCUCUCUAUAUCCUCCGAUGGAAGUUGCCGGAAGAAGUGCCCAAGGGAAUGAGUGAAGCUGCCAGCAUGAUCUAGCUCAAGGAUAAAAGCUAGAUUUUGAUCAUAAACCCUCUUGUAGCUUUGAAGGAACUUGGCCAUAAACAUGAAUCCUGGAGAUGCCAAAGAAUGAAAACAUGAUUAAAGGACAUUAAUCCUGGCUAGGUCAUGCUCUGGCAGCUUCAUUUCUUCCCUUGCUGGGCGCAAUAGAUGCACCACCACCACCAUGACAGGGAAGACGAGAAAGGAGAAUAGCAGUGGUGCUAUUGGGGAACAAAGUACCCCGGUAUGUGAGUGUGGGCUCAAAUGUUUGUGCUGUUUACAUCAAAUCCAUGACAGUAGGACAGUAAUCCAGCUAUAUCUCCAUGGAUUCUUUAUUCCUAUCUUUCCUUGUACACUUGUGUGUGCAAGUUAAACAAGUUACAUGAUCUGAUAUCAGUGAAGCUUCACCUCCUCCAUGUUGAAUUUACAGUAGCUUACAGAAGAUGGAGGUGAAUCAUGUAUCACGUGCACUUCAAAUCAACAUCCUCCAGGUCCAGUAUGUCUGCUUCCAUUGUGCAUUGAGGUGACACAUCUCAAGUGCUUGCAAUUGGUCUGCUAUGAUCAGGACAUCAUCAGCAUGAUAAAAAGGUUGCAGUCUCAGCUACUUCAGGACUUUGGCCUAAUCUGGCUCAAGCACUUGCCUUUGCUGUGGAUUGAUUGAUGUUAAAGAGCAUCCAUGUAAAACAAUAUGUACAUUCUGUUCAUGUUGUUUUGCAAGAGCGGGAACAUAGAGGAUCAGUCUUUAGAUUUGCAUGACUUGAAUCCAGCCUUGAAGUCCACAAGAGGCAUUCAGAAUCUUGAUGAAAUAAACUCACAUCUAUAAGCAUUUAUCACCUAUAUACUCGUUUGCACAAUUGAAAGUGAAAAAUGUAGUGAUCUAUUUCACAUCAUUCAUGAUUUUGUCACUAAACUUAGUUUGAUAUUUAAGAUACAAGUGGGAAAAUAAGAAGAAAUAAAAAAAGACUGUGGUGUCAAUUAAGAACAAACAAUGUGUGUGGUCAAAAUGAGGCUUCAAUUAACUGAAUGAUGCAACAUUCCAAAUGUGUUGCUGCUUGUCACUCUCAGAAUCCCUUAAUGGUUGUCUCAAUCCAUGAAAUAGUUUGUACCUGCAGAUAUGUAUAACCAGCUCAUAAUCCUGUCUGCCUCUACAACAAAAUAGUUUCAUCCAUAUAUAUUGGUCUUAGUUGAACAAUAUGUAUACUCUAUGAGCCUUUUGGACAUCAUCAUGAUAUGACAUUCAGAAUAGUCUUGGUGCAUAUCACCAGAGUAGAUGCCUAAAGUGAAUGAUUUUUUUUCUCUUAUAGUAUGUUUAAAGUGAGUGUUUGAUGCCAAACA